UGCAAAUUGGUUAAGUUUUGAAGGUUAGACUCCUUUUACGGGCAAUCAGAAAGUUUGAAGUCCUUUUCUAAGUUCUUUGGUGAAAAUUAAUUCCUUUUGGCAAACAAAAACUAUUUGUAUAGUGAACAGUUUGAUUAACCGUGAUGUAUUAGGUUUACAAAAGUGGAGGUUUAAUCUCACAUGUACUUUUGAUUAUUAAUAAUAUUCUUCAUAUAUAGAAGCCGCUUGGAAGCAGCUGAGAGUCGUCAUGCCAGCUUACUCAGGGGAACUUUUGCCAUUUCAACUUAAUUUUUAAUUUAUCUUACUCAGCAAUAAGUUAUACUUUAUAUUGCACAUGUUGUACUUUGGAGAGAGAGUUUUCCCAAAUUGCAUAAAAGUCUCAUCUGCUUUUCUUCUUUGUGAUUCAGAUUAUUAUUUUCGUGUAUUCCCUGUAGUGUUCACGCCCAUCUUCUCUUGUUGUGGAGUAACCCCUUCACCAGAUUUGAUCGCUGUGUUUGGAGAUGGAUUAGCUGGAAUAUUUGCAGUUGCAGUAUAACUGAAAUAUUCAUCAAGGAAAAAAGGUAACGCUCUGACAUUUUAGUAAUAAUAUGCUCAAAAGUAUAAGACUGAACCACCUAUGCUCUUCUACAUGACAGCUGAUGGCCUUUCAGGCUUUCCUUACUUGGUUUGAACUUAAAAACGUAUAGUUGCUUUAGCUGCAUUUUUAGCAGUUCAUGUUACUUCAGAUGAGUACACAUACUUCUCACACUUGAAUACGCAUUUCAUAUGUUCUGCUCAUCAAGAGAAGCACAGCUCUUUCUUUUGCUCUCUAUUCUCAAUUUGAAUUACUGGAAUCGUGCUAUGGGCGAAGUUUCAGUGUAUGAUUUUGCUUUUUGUAACCAAUGUAAUAAUAAUUCUGAACAUCCCCCCUCCACACCCUAAAAAAAAAAGGAAAAGAGAAAUUAGUUUUUGUUCCUUCAGAAAGUAAAAUAUUCUUUACUCUAUUAUUCACAACACAUCA